CUAAAAAGAAAAAAAAUUAAAAAAUAUCAAGUAAGCAAGAAGGAGUUAACUCCACUGUGUCAGUGUAUGCGUUUGCGUGUAUGUGUUGUGUAAGUGUAAACUGUGUCAUUCACAGCUAACUGCAUACGAGUUUUCAAUACAUAUACGGCAAAAAUAAAGUAUAAAAAAAAAUCAAACUGUUUAGCUACCUCUUCAGCAGUAGCCGCAUUACAACUUUUAUUAUUGGAGUUGUAGUUGUUGUGUUUGUUGCUGCCACGGUUUGUUGCUUCACUGAUUACGCGCAAUGCAGCGGCAGCAGCAGCAACAGCCCCAGCCCCAGCAGUAGCUUUGCAAAACCGGCGAAGCGCGACUGUUGCCAAUGCAACGCUUAGAAUUGGCACAGCAACAAAAACAAACAAACAACUACAAUAAUAACGGUUACGGCGCAUCGAGCUUUUGCUUUGGCUAGUAACUGUAACCAUGGUCUCUGCUCUGUGUCACUUCCUUACCGGACGCGUUUCCUGUCAUCCCCUGCACAUUCGUGCCGUCAGGUGGCAACCCUCAACCCUCGGUGCAGACAGUGAAAAAAGCACCGCCUGCCGCACUCUACCACAAUGCAGUCCUUUCACAGUUAUUUCAAGUAGCGGCAAGUUUCGUGCAAAUGCGUCACCACCUACCAAACGUCGCACAGUGUGGCAAAAAUCGAUUCUGUUUUAUGCUCAACACUUGAAAUUCGACAAA